GAUGAACGCUAGCGGCAGGCUUAAUACAUGCAAGUCGAGGGGCAGCACGAAUAGCAAUAUUUGGUGGCGACCGGCAAACAGGUGCGGAACACGUACGCAACCUUCCCAAAACUGGUGAAUAGCCCUCCGAAAGGAGGAUUAAUACACCGUACCAUAAUGAAGAGGCAUCUUUUUGUUAUUAUAGGCAGCAAUGUCGGUUUUGGAUGGGCGUGCGCCUGAUUAGGUAGUUGGCGGGGUAACGGCCCACCAAGCCUCCGAUCAGUAACUGGUGUGAGAGCACGACCAGUCACACGGGCACUGAGACACGGGCCCGACUCCUACGGGAGGCAGCAGUAAGGAAUAUUGGUCAAUGGACGAAAGUCUGAACCAGCCAUGCCGCGUGAAGGAUGAAGGCCCUCUGGGUUGUAAACUUCUUUUAUCUGGGACGAAAAAAGGGGAUUCUUCCUCACUUGACGGUACCAGAGGAAUAAGCACCGGCUAACUCCGUGCCAGCAGCCGCGGUAAUACGGAGGGUGCAAGCGUUAUCCGGAUUUACUGGGUUUAAAGGGUGCGUAGGUGGGUAGGUAAGUCAGUGGUGAAAUCUUCGAGCUUAACUCGGAAACUGCCAUUGAUACUAUUUAUCUUGAAUACUUUGGAGGUAAGCGGAAUAUGUCAUGUAGCGGUGAAAUGCUUAGAUAUGACAUAGAACACCAAUUGCGAAGGCAGCUUACUACACAGUUAUUGACACUGAGGCACGAAAGCGUGGGGAUCAAACAGGAUUA
rnacentral:rRNA from 1 species